rnacentral:rRNA from 1 species
UACAGAGGGGGCAAGCGUUGUUCGGAAUUACUGGGCGUAAAGGGCGCGUAGGCGGUGCGGUAAGUCACCUGUGAAAUCUCCUGGCUCAACUGGGAGCUUGCAGGCGAAACUGCCGUGCUGGAGUGUGGGAGAGGUGCGUGGAAUUCCUGGUGUAGCGGUGAAAUGCGUAGAUAUCGGGAGGAACACCUGUGGCGAAAGCGGCGCACUGGACCACAACUGACGCUGAGGCGCGAAAGCUAGGGGAGCAAACAGG